UGCAGUCGAGCGGAUGAAAGGAGCUUGCUCCUGGAUUCAGCGGGGACGGGUGAGUAAUGCCUAGGAAUCUGCCUGGUAGUGGGGGACAACGUUUCGAAGGGAACGCUAAUACCGCAUACGUCCUACGGGAGAAAGCAGGGGACCUUCGGGCCUUGCGCUAUCAGAUGAGCCUAGGUCGGAUUAACUAGUUGGUGAGGGAAUGGCUCACCAAGGCGACGAUCCGUAACUGGUCUGAGAGGAUGAUCAGUCACACUGGAACUGAGACACGGUCCAGACUCCUACGGGAGGCAGCAGUGGGGAAUAUUGGACAAUGGGCGAAAGCCUGAUCCAGCCAUGCCGCGUGUGUGAAGAAGGUCUUCGGAUUGUAAAGCACUUUAAGUUGGGAGGAAGGAUUGUAGAUUAAUACUCUGCAAUUUUGACGUUACCGACAGAAUAAGCACCGGCUAACUCUGUGCCAGCAGCCGCGGUAAUACAGAGGGUGCAAGCGUUAAUCGGAAUUACUGGGCGUAAAGCGCGCGUAGGUGGUUUGUUAAGUUGGAUGUGAAAUCCCCGGGCUCAACCUGGGAACUGCAUCCAAAACUGGCAAGCUAGAGUAUGGUAGAGGGUGGUGGAAUUUCCUGUGUAGCGGUGAAAUGCGUAGAUAUAGGAAGGAACACCAGUGGCGAAGGCGACCACCUGGACUGAUACUGACACUGAGGUGCGAAAGCGUGGGGAGCAACAGGAUUAGAUACCCUGGUAGUCCACGCCGUAACGAUGUCAACUAGCCGUUGGGAGCCUUGAGCUCUUAGUGGUGCAGCUAACGCAUUAAGUUGACCGCCUGGUGAGUACGGCCGCAAGGUUGAAACUCCAAUGAAUUGACGGGGGCCCGCACAAGCGGUGGAGCAUGGGGUUAAUUCUAAGAACGCGAAAAACCUACCAGGCCUUGAAUCCAAUGAACUUUCCA
rnacentral:rRNA from 1 species